rnacentral:lncRNA from 1 species
UGUGUAUUCUGCCUUGCCAUUUUUUGUUGGAAGGUAGACAUAAUGUCCUGGGUAAAAGGAACUGUGAUAAAUAGGCCUUUAGUAAUAUGGUGGUGAGAUGCAGGGGAAGGGGAAGUGUUCUAUAGUCCUGUGAUGAGGCUUCAGUCUUGUGGUGAGCCUGUGUCCCUAGACUGUGAACUUCACCAGUGAUUUGCUAUACCCUAUCCCCCCACCUUAGGUAGGAUAGGAUGGCUAGAGGGAGCUAGAGUUGGGUAUUUCCCUUUUCCCAAGUCAGUUGGGCUCUGAUAAAACUCCAGCAGGUCAGGCUCUGAUAGAAUAGUUUCACCUGAGGGCAAGCCUUGUUAAGAAGAACAGAAUGCUCUGGCAUAUUUCAAAAUGGUUCCUUUCAUCUUGCACCUGCUGGAAGCAUGAGGAGAUUUUUCUCUGAUAUAUACUGUGAGGACCCGGUCAAGCUCCUGAAGGUAAAACUCACAAAAGCAUGGAGUCCCUCUCUAUGACUAGAGUUUUUGACUCUCAGACUUGUCCAUACUGAGCCUCCAGCAAUUCAUCCGUUGCAGUUCAGGUUUUCCUACCUUGGCACUGGUUCUGGUGGAGGUUUCUGCUCCAGUAAGUUGUAAUUCUCUGUAUCCACUUGUCUCUCCAUGUUUUGCGGCAGUGGUUUACCUGGUGAACCCACUUGUCUGACGAAACUAAGAAGAGGUGUUGAUUUUUCAGUUUAUUUAGCUUUUCACUUAUUUUUAAGACGGAGUGGUGACUUCUGAGCUCCUAACAUGCCAAAUGGGAAGCUGGAAGUCUAGAAGUCUCUUUUUCAAGGUGAAUCUGAUGAUUGGAUGGCUUUAGAGCUAAUUGGCUUUUAAACUUUAAAAAUGUAAUGCCAUCUUAUUUCAAAGAAAAUCUAUGAAUUUAUAAAAAAACAUAUAAAAUUGGUAAAAGUGGGGCUGUUCUGGUUGAAGUGUGUGUGUUGGUGAGGCAGGGAUCCAGAGCUUUAUCUUCUCAAACUCCCCUGGUGCAGCCCCAAACUGCCUCUGCAGAGUCCCUCAUUCGCUAAUCAUACUGCUCUCUCCAGCAUGGGCUGGCGCAUGUCUCCCUCGGACAAAGCCACUGGGAAGUGCAGGCACUCGGAUUGGUGAACCAGAACCGUUACCCUGAUUAGUCCUGAGCUAACAUCCACCACCAAUCCUCCCCUUUUUUGCUGAGGAAGAUUGGCCUUGAGCUAACAUCUGUGCCCAUCUUACUCUGUUUAUGUGUGGGAUGCCUGCCAUAGCAUGGCUUGAUAAGCUGUGUGUAGGUCCAUGGCUGGGAUCUGAACUGACAAACUCCAGGAGGCUGAAGCAGAGCGUGUGAACCUAACCACUACACCACUGCACUGGCCCCUUAAGUGAUAAAUUUUGACUGUGAAGAGGAAAACAUGGAUUCAUUCAAACUCACCCCUCUCAUUUCUCUUAGUGCAGGGUGUUUGGGAUUCUGUGACCCUAAUUAUGUGAAUAUAUAUUAAAUGAGUACUGUUCACAAUUCUCUGCUUUGCUUUUGUUGAAACAGAAGCCAUAUUUUACCUUACACACUCUUGUUGGUACUGUGUCAUUGUAUUCUUUCUUUUUAGUUUCAUUGAAGGGCUACAAGGAAUAACUUGAAUAUACUGGAAUAAGAAUUGGAAAACUAUUCAUUAUCAAAAUUUGGGGACUUAAGCAUACAUUUGAAAAUUUAUAAUUACUUUCUUAUCUCUAAGUAGGUGAAAAACCAUGUAAUAAAGUAUUAGACAGUAAAUCUCAUUUGGAAUGAGGGAUUGUUGGAAACCACAGACUGUAGCGCAUCCAAUUCAACUUCCCCUUUCAUAACACUGAGCCCAGAGAGGGUAGUUGUCUUGUUCAGGGUCCUGCAGUUAGGUGGUGACAGAAAUGGUUUUUGUGAGUCCUAUUUGAGCACUCUUUUGGCCAGGCCACACCCUUUGCAGGGGUCAAGGAGUUCUUCACUACUUGGCUGUGGCUCCAUAAAUAUGGAUUCUGUGAUUUCUUUUCUCCUCCAAGUGCACAGACUCUUGCCCCCCAUUUCCCACAUUUGCAUCCCAAUGACAUAUUAGCUGAGUGACUUUGGGCUAGUUAACCAACCUCUCUCUGUGCUUCAGUUUUCACUUUUAUGAAAUGAGGAUAAUAAUAGUGCAUCUCUUAUAGAGUCUAUACCAGUGAUGUGCGUGGCACCGCGUAAGCACUUAAUAAACAUUGGCUAUUAUUUUUAUUAUUGUAAUUUUCUGCCACUCUUCCUCCAGUGUGUGCUGUGGUCUUCAUUUACUUUGUGGCAUAUAGUAAUCACAUCUAAAACAACUGAAGGUUGUAUCUGCAU